GUGUCAGCCGCCGCGGUAAUACGGAGGGUGCAAGCGUUGUUCGGAAUCACUGGGCGUAAAGGGCGCGUAGGCGGCCACCUAAGUCCGAUGUGAAAGCCCGGGGCUCAACCCCGGAAGGGCAUGGGAAACUGAGUGGCUUGAGUUCGGGAGAGGAAGGCAGAAUUCCCGGUGUAGGGUUGAAAUCCGUAGAUAUCGGGAGGAAAACCGGUGGCGAAGGCGGCCUUCUGGAACGAAACUGACGCUGAGGCGCGAAAGCGUGGGGAGCAAACAGGAUUAGAUACCCCAGUAGUCC
rnacentral:rRNA from 1 species